UAUUAGAUAAUAUUAUUUAUUUUUGUUUAUUUAAUUUAUUUUUUAAUAGAAAUAACUUUUAUUUUAGUAUUUUUUAAAGAAUUGAUAUUUAUUGAAUUAUAGUUUAUUUUGCUGUAAAGUAAUUUGUUUUAUAAUUAAUAAAGUAGAUUUUAUUUAUUGUACCUUUUGUAUCAGGGUUUAUUAAUAUUCCUUACUUAUUGGUAGUUUUCCCGAAUUUAGAAGAUCUAUUAAUUUAUGUUAUUUACUGUUUCAUAAUUAUUGUUAAUUUAUUAAUAGUUGUUAUAUACUUUUCAUUUUUAAAUAUCUGGUUUCUUAAUAAUUGAAUUAAAUUCAGGAUUAAUUUAUUAUAUUAGGGUAAUUUAUUUUAUAUAUAUAAUUAAUCUAAUACUAUAAGGGAUGAGCUUUAUAGUACUGUCUAAGUAUUUAAAUUAUAUAAUAAAUUUUGUAGGAUUAAUAAUUUUCAUCAUUUAUUUUGUUAUAAUGGAAUUUAAUUUUUAAUUAAUUUUACUCAAUACUAGAUAUAUAUUAAGAUUUAAUAUUUAAUUUUUAAUUAUUAGAUAUAAUGAUAAAAUUAGUAAAUUAUAAAAUUGGUAUAUAGUAAUUCGGCAAUUUAUAUUCUUCACCUGUUUAUCAAAAACAUGUCUUGAUGGAUUGUUUAUAUUAAGUCUAGCCUGCUCAAUGAUUAUUAUUGAUUAAAUAGCCGCAGUAUCCUAACUGUGCGAAGGUAGCAUAAUCAUUUGUCUUUUAAUUGAAGGCUUGUAUGAAUGGCUGGAUGAGAGAUUGACUUUCUUUAUAUCAUAUAUUGAAUUUAAUUUUUAAGUCAAAAAGCUUAAAUAAUUUAAUGGGACGAGAAGACCCUAUAGAAUUUUAUUAUCAAUAUUAAUGUUUAAUAAUCGGUUAAUUUCUUUUUUAAUAUUAUUUUGGUAAUUUUGUUGGGGUGACAGGGGGAUUUAUUUAACUCCCUUUAAUUAUUAAUUACUAAUGAGUAUUAUUUAAUGAUCCUUUACUAAGGAUAUUAAGAUUAAAUUACCUUAGGGAUAACAGCGUAAUUCCUUUGGAGAGUUCUUAUCGAUGAAGGAGUUUGCGACCUCGAUGUUGGAUUAAAAUAAGUUUUAAGUGCAGAAGCUUAAUUUCUAGGUCUGUUCGACCUUUAAUUUUUUACAUGAUCUGAGUUCAGACCGGCGUGAGCCAGGUCGGUUUCUAUCUUUUAUAUUUUAUUACAUCUUAGUACGAAAGGACCAGAUGUAUCAAAUAGUUUGUUAUUACUUGUUUAUUAUUA
rnacentral:rRNA from 1 species